AUGGUACUCGCAAAAUGGCAAUGCAAUCACUAUCUUGAACUAGAAAGCUUAUCUCUUUUUUUAUCUUAUCCCUGGCCUCAGUACAUAUCUUGACACACGUUUCUUUUUCUUUUUCCUUUGGGAACCUCAAAUCUAAAUUGGCCCCAUUAACAGCUCUUCACAACCCAAGGAUUUGAGAUCUAUUAGUGUGAGGCCCGGCCCAGCCGAUCCAUUUGGCUGGCCCGCCUGUUAAGGCAGUCAUAGGCGGUCGUCC
rnacentral:lncRNA from 1 species